CAUCCACUCCAUGCCAGGAAAAGCCUGCCUUGGCUCCGGACCUGGUCACUGCGGUCUAAGUGAGUGUGUAUCUGCUGGACAUAAAGCCUAAGGCUUGAGACUUUUGAACUUAGCAUGCAGAGGGAAUGUCUGUCAUUAGCCUGUCAUAAUUGUGUUUUCAGUGCUUAGAAUUAAUCUAGAAUUGUUUGCUCUGAAUUAAUCAAUCUAGAAUUGUUUGCUGUAAAUUGAUUAUGUCUAUUGCAGUGCCUAGCAUUAAG
rnacentral:lncRNA from 1 species